CCUACGGGGAGCUGCAGUGAGGAAUAUUGGUCAAUGGACGAGAGUCUGAACCAGCCAAGUAGCGUGAAGGAUGACUGCCCUAUGGGUUGUAAACUUCUUUUAUAUGGGAAUAAAACGUUCCACGUGUGGGAUUUUGUAUGUACCAUAUGAAUAAGGAUCGGCUAACUCCGUGCCAGCAGCCGCGGUAAUACGGAGGAUCCGAGCGUUAUCCGGAUUUAUUGGGUUUAAAGGGAGCGUAGGUGGAUUGUUAAGUCAGUUGUGAAAGUUUGCGGCUCAACCGUAAAAUUGCAGUUGAAACUGGCAGUCUUGAAUACAGUAGAGGUGGGCGGAAUUCGUGGUGUAGCGGUGAAAUGCUUAGAUAUCACGAAGAACUCCGAUUGCGAAGGCAGUUCACUGGACUGCAACUGACACUGAGGCUCGAAAGUGUGGGUAUCAAACAGGAUUAGAUACCCGGUAGUC
rnacentral:rRNA from 1 species